GACGAACGCUGGCGGCGUGCUUAACACAUGCAAGUCGAGCGAUGAAGCUCCUUCGGGAGUGGAUUAGCGGCGGACGGGUGAGUAACACGUGGGUAACCUGCCUCAUAGAGGGGAAUAGCCUUUCGAAAGGAAGAUUAAUACCGCAUAAGAUUGUAGUCUCGCAUGAUACAGCAAUUAAAGGAGCAAUCCGCUAUGAGAUGGACCCGCGUCGCAUUAGCUAGUUGGUGAGGUAACGGCUCACCAAGGCGACGAUGCGUAGCCGACCUGAGAGGGUGAUCGGCCACAUUGGGACUGAGACACGGCCCAGACUCCUACGGGAGGCAGCAGUGGGGAAUAUUGCACAAUGGGGGAAACCCUGAUGCAGCAACGCCGCGUGAGUGAUGACGGUCUUCGGAUUGUAAAGCUCUGUCUUCAGGGACGAUAAUGACGGUACCUGAGGAGGAAGCCACGGCUAACUACGUGCCAGCAGCCGCCGCAGUAA
rnacentral:rRNA from 1 species